UACGUAGGGGGCUAGCGUUGUCCGGAUUUACUGGGCGUAAAGAGCGUGUAGGCGGCCAAACAGGUCCGUUGUGAAAACUGGAGGCUCAACUUCCAGACGUCGACGGAAACCGUGUGGCUAGAGUCCGGAAGAGGAGAGUGGAAUUCCUGGUGUAGCGGUGAAAUGCGCAGAUAUCAGGAAGAACACCAAUGGCGAAGGCAGCUCUCUGGGACGGUACUGACGCUGAGACGCGAAAAGCGUGGGGAGCGAACAGG
rnacentral:rRNA from 1 species